AAGCGCUACCCGGUGAUCAUCGGUAUGGCCACCGGCAACCCUGCCUACAAAGUGACCCAGGAGGAGGCCUGCAAGAUCGCUUGCAGUGUGCCUGCUCUCCCCAAGGAUCGCAUUCCUGUCGUCGAGAGAAUCUACGGCAACACCAGAAUCAACUCUCGUUACUUCUGCAUUCCUGACUUCACCCCGGAGAAGGCUCUUCCUGGCGAU
rnacentral:ribozyme from 1 species